GAAGGUGGCAAGCGUUAUUCGGAUUUACUGGGCGUAAAGCGCACGUAGGCGGCUUGGCAUGUCGGGUGUGAAAUCCCCGGGCUCAACCUGGGAACUGCAUCCGAAACUGCCUUGCUAGAGUAUGGGAGAGGGAAGUGGAAUUUCCGGUGUAGCGGUGAAAUGCGUAGAUAUCGGAAGGAACAUCAGUGGCGAAGGCGACUUCCUGGACCAAUACUGACGCUCAGGUGCGAAAGCGUGGGGAGCAAACAGGAUUAGAUACCCUGGUAGUCCACGCCCUAAACGAUGCGGACUUGGUGUGCGUCCUUCAUUGGAUGCGUGCCGCAGCUAACGCGUUAAGUCCGCCGCCUGGGGAGUACGGUCGCAAGGCUG
rnacentral:rRNA from 1 species